AUUGAACGCUGGCGGCAGGCCUAACACAUGCAAGUCGAACGAGUGGCGGACGGGUGAGUAAUGUCUGGGAAACUGCCUGAUGGAGGGGGAUAACUACUGGAAACGGUAGCUAAUACCGCAUACCAUCAGAUGUGCCCCGAUGUGCGUUGCUAGUUGGUGGGGUAACGGGUCACCAAGGCGACGAUCACUAGCUGGUCUGAUAGGAUGACCGGCCACACUGGAACUGAGACACGGUCCAGACUCCUACGGGAGGCAGCAGUGGGGAAUAUUGCACAGUGGGCGCAAGUCUGAUGCAGCCAGGCCGCGUGUAUGAAGAAGGCCUUCGGGUUGUAAAUUACUUUCAGCGGGGAGGCGUUACCCGCAGAAGAAGCACCGGCUAACUCCGUGCCAGCAGCCGCGGUAAUUC
rnacentral:rRNA from 1 species